rnacentral:rRNA from 1 species
UUUUAUGAGAGUUUGAUCCUGGCUCAGGACGAACGCUGGCGGCGUGCCUAAUACAUGCAAGUCGAACGCUUCUUUUUCCACCGGAGCUUGCUCCACCGGAAAAAGAGGAGUGGCGAACGGGUGAGUAACACGUGGGUAACCUGCCCAUCAGAAGGGGAUAACACUUGGAAACAGGUGCUAAUACCGUAUAACAAUCRAAACCGCAUGGUUUUGAUUUGAAAGGCGCUUUCGGGUGUCGCUGAUGGAUGGACCCGCGGUGCAUUAGCUAGUUGGUGAGGUAACGGCUCACCAAGGCCACGAUGCAUAGCCGACCUGAGAGGGUGAUCGGCCACAUUGGGACUGAGACACGGCCCAAACUCCUACGGGAGGCAGCAGUAGGGAAUCUUCGGCAAUGGACGAACGUCUGACCGAGCAACGCCGCGUGAGUGAAGAAGGUUUUCGGAUCGUAAAACUCUGUUGUUAG